rnacentral:rRNA from 1 species
CUAAAAUGAGAGUUUGAUCCUGGCUCAGGACGAACGCUGGCGGCGUGCCUAAUACAUGCAAGUCGAACGCUUUUUUCAAUCAUCGUAGCUUGCUACACCGAUUGAAAAUUGAGUGGCGAACGGGUGAGUAACACGUGGGUAACCUGCCCAAAAGAGGGGGAUAACACUUGGAAACAGGUGCUAAUACCGCAUAACCAUGAUGACCGCAUGGUCAUUAUGUAAAAGAUGGUUUCGGCUAUCACUUUUGGAUGGACCCGCGGCGUAUUAACUUGUUGGUGGGGUAACGGCCUACCAAGGUAAUGAUACGUAGCCGAACUGAGAGGUUGAUCGGCCACAUUGGGACUGAGACACGGCCCAAACUCCUACGGGAGGCAGCAGUAGGGAAUCUUCCACAAUGGGCGCAAGCCUGAUGGAGCAACGCCGCGUGAGUGAAGAAGGUCUUCGGAUCGUAAAACUCUGUUGUUAGAGAAGAAC